rnacentral:rRNA from 1 species
CGCGGUAAUUCCAGCUCCAAUAGCGUAUACUAAAGUGUUGCAGUUAAAAAGCUCGUAGUUGGAUUUCUGGCCGGGACGGCUGGUCGGUCUCGAAAGGGGCUGUACUGUUGUUGGUUCCCGUCAUCCUUGGGGAGAGCGGCUCUUACAUUAAGUUGUCGGCGUCGGGAUCCCUAUCUUUUACUGUGAAAAAAUUAGAGUGUUCAAAGCAGGCUUAGGCCCUGAAUACAUUAGCAUGGAAUAAUAAGAUACGACCUUGGUGGUCUAUUUUGUUGGUUUGCACGCCAAGGUAAUGAUUAAUAGGGAUAGUUGGGGGUAUUCGUAUUCAAUUGUCAGAGGUGAAAUUCUUGGAUUUAUGGAAGACGAACUACUGCGAAAGCAUUUACCAAGGAUGUUUUCAUUAAUCAAGAACGAAAGUUAGGGGAUCGAAGAUGAUUAGAUACCAUCGUAGUCUUAACCAUAAACUAUGCCGACUAGGGAUCGGUGGGUGCAUUUUUAGGCCUCAUCGGCACCUUAUGAGAAAUCAAAGUCUUUGGGUUCCGGGGGGAGUAUGGUCGCAAGGCUGAAACUUAAAGAAAUUGACGG